AUCAAUCACAGAUCCGGAGAGUGGGCCCAAACAACAGGGUUUAAAUAAAUUUCUAUCCCCGAACUCGCCAGGUUUUAGAUCCCCACAAAAAGAAAAAACUAUAGAGCCAGGACCCCUGGGUCUGAUGCACG